GUCGAACGGUAACAGGAAGCAGCUUGCUGCUUCGCUGACGAGUGGCGGACGGGUGAGUAAUGUCUGGGAAAUUGCCUGAUGGAGGGGGAUAACUACUGGAAACGGUAGCUAAUACCGCAUAACGUCGCAAGACCAAAGAGGGGGACCUUCGGGCCUCUUGCCAUCGGAUGUGCCCAGAUGGGAUUAGCUAGUAGGUGGGGUAACGGCUCACCUAGGCGACGAUCCCUAGCUGGUCUGAGAGGAUGACCAGCCACACUGGAACUGAGACACGGUCCAGACUCCUACGGGAGGCAGCAGUGGGGAAUAUUGCACAAUGGGCGCAAGCCUGAUGCAGCCAUGCCGCGUGUAUGAAGAAGGCCUUCGGGUUGUAAAGUACUUUCAGCGGGGAGGAAGGCGAUAAGGUUAAUAACCUUGUCGAUUGACGUUACCCGCAGAAGAAGCACCGGCUAACUCCGUGCCAGCAGCCGCGGUAAUACGGAGGGUGCAAGCGUUAAUCGGAAUUACUGGGCGUAAAGCGCACGCAGGCGGUCUGUCAAGUCGGAUGUGAAAUCCCCGGGCUCAACCUGGGAACUGCAUUCGAAACUGGCAG
rnacentral:rRNA from 1 species